rnacentral:misc_RNA from 1 species
GUAGGUGAACCUGCGGAAGGAUCAUUAAAAGAGUAGGGUCUCACGGCCCGACCUCCAACCCUUUGUCGUUCAAAACACCUCGUUGCUUUGGCGGGACCGUCGUCCCCCGGGACGGCUGUCGGUCCUCGGCCCGGCAAGCGCCCGCCAGAGUCCAACCAAACUCUUGUUAUUACCGGUCGUCUGAGAACAAAGAUUUAAUCAAUUAAAACUUUCAACAACGGAUCUCUUGGUUCUG